AAGUGGUUUUGCAGGUGUGUAUAAUACGAAACAACCGAAAGUGACCUUCUUUUCGUCAGCCUAAAGUGACUAGACAACUUAAAUGCCGGCAUUACAAAGGAUUCUUGAUUUCUGAAGCCUAAACUGUCAAGUAGCGACCUAACAUUUUGACGUACACACAUACGUUGUAACAUAACGGGAAUAAAAUGUCUUCGGAUGACGACAAUAAUUCAUUAAACUCCUCAGCCAAGUCGGACGCAAGGCUUAGCGAACAGUUAAGUGGCACACCGACGUCGAAUUCGUCGACUGCCAAUAGAGGCGCGGGAAAUGGAGGUGCUGGUUGUGGCAGUGGCAGUGGAAAUACCUCUCAAUUGGCGAGACGUAAGAAAGUCAUGCCGCUGGAGCAUGGUUGCGAGGAUAAUUGGACGUGGAGUAAACGACAUCGUUCCAAGGAGAUCGUAUUGAGUGGUCCUAAUAAUCGCACAGUUCAUUUUCAUCCGAAUUGGAGCAAAGGAACGGCGGGCGUUCAGGGGAAACGUCCGUUGAAUAAUGGGCGCUUCUAUUGGGAAUUACAUGUCUCACAGCGUGUCUUUGGAACGAGCAUUAUGUUCGGUAUCGGCACAAAGCAAGCGCGUCUUCACGCCAACUCAUUUCGUAACAUGCUUGGUGAGAAUGAACAUGGCUGGGGUCUAUCGCACAAGGGUGUGCUGUGGCAUAAAGGUGUAGCGCUGCUCUACACAAAACGUUUCAAAGAAAACCACCCGACCGUUAUUGGUGUGCUUUUCGAUGGCAUUGAGGGUACGCUCAGCUAUUACAAAGAUGGCAAAUGUUUGGGAGUAGCAUUUAGGGGGUUAGAUAAGAUCAAGGAACCGCUGUAUCCGAUUGUCUGUUCAACCGCCGCAAAAACUGAAAUGACACUCAAAUGUACACGACGGGAUUUCGUAAAUCUGCAAGAUCGUUGUCGGGCCGAAAUUAUUAAACACGUCAAAACGAGAGAGGAUUUGGUGAAAUUGAAAUUGCCGCCGCUCAUUACGCAAUAUCUGAGCGAAGUGGUGAACGAUGUGGCACCCCUACGUCAAGUAGACAACUAUGACAUUCUAUGUGAUUUUUAAAUUUCGACAACUCACAGUAGAGAGUAGUUUUCGGAGUAAUGCUGGACAGGAGGUGAUACUAACUUGUGUGGUUGGUAUUUGUCUACGCACAUACAAACAUAUUGAAAUAAAAUUAAAUCGUUUUGACAUGUGCAAGGAUGCAAAGUUGUAAAAUGUAAAUUAGUGAGCGUAGAGUUGAGUGAAUUCUAGUCAUGUAAAUUGUUGUACUGCUUGCUCGAAAAUAGCGCCAUCACUAGCAGUCAGCAUUUUUAGGAAAUAAUUGUAAUUAUUUAAAUUAAAAAAUUUGUUCAAAUGUGAAAAAUAUUCAGUAAUAAUACGCAUUGUAAAGCUAUUAAUGUCUAAUAAAAACAAUAUGUGUAUCUUAAAUAAACAGCUUGAUUGGAUUAAAUAUACCGCGGAUGAAAUUGAGCAAUUGAAUAAAUUUUCAUGUGGCGGUUACAGUGAUGAGACAACAAUAGUUUAUCUGGUGCAUCCAUGUCGAAUCUUAUCAG